CGAAGCAGCUCUCUUUCUCGUAGCUUCGUAUUGAGUUCUUCUUGCGAAGGCAGUUUCCAGCCACUCUUCAUGGCAGCUGACCACCAUGCCUUCAGCUCAUCCUAUGGAAGUCAUGGUUGGAUACAAAGCGAGAAUCUACUUGGCAAGUUGAAUUCCUGAUGGUCACAGAAAGGCGAUUCUUAUCCAUCAUUUACCAUUUAUCCUGGCAACAUGAUAUCCAGUGCCACCCAAUGCUUCCUCCCAUUUACCAAAUCGUAGACGCAAGAAAAAGCCAUCUAAGGUGGUGUGCAUAACUGGUGACCUCAUCCAUCUUACCUUAUUAUAUCGGAGCGAGACAAACGGAGCCUCUGCAAGGCUCCAAAAACUACACUUGCUUCGUCAUAAACAUCAUUGGGCACAAUACCAUAAGGUACCAUUUGUUUGUUAUCUG
rnacentral:sRNA from 1 species